rnacentral:lncRNA from 1 species
CAGGCGUUGCUAGGCGACAGGCGGUCCCUGCCAGACUCGGAGAACCCGAGAAGUGGGGGCCCGGCUCUCAGAGCCUGAGGGGCGUGAGGGGUGUACUGGUCCCGCCCCGCCCCGUGGUCAGCCUCAGCUGGCCAAAUGCAACCCGGCUGCAAGUGGCCUGGCUCCGCCCCCGCCUGCCAGGCUAGGAAGCCGGGCGGAGAGGGCUUGGAUCUGAGCUAGUUCUAGUGCACAGUGGCUUGAGUCGUGGGAGAGGCACAGAAGUCCUCCUCCUACCUCUGCCUUCUUCCUCCUGCAGGGGACUCGGGAGAGGCCCUGCCAUGAUUCUACUGGGGCAGAAGCCUUAGACUCCUGAACUUUUCAGUCGGAAGGAAUCUGGGAGUAAAUGUGGGUCAGUUGCCAUUCAUUAAUUUUUUCAUGCACUAAAUUAGUUUUCUAGCUCCUCCUAAGUGUCAGACGCUGUGCUAGGCUCCGAGGAUGAAGGAUCAAAAACACAGUCUCUCCAGUUGCUGGGGCCUACAAUCUAGGAUCUAAUGGGGAGACAAAACAAAUAAGCAAACAAAACCAAAAAUGUCUGCAUCUGUGUUUUAAACACAUACACACUGUGGUGCUAGAAGGGAAGCAGAGGAGGCGGUGGACAAGCACAAAGGAGCAGCUUAGGUGGGAGAUGGCCUCCCUGAGCAGGUGACAUCUAACCCAUGCCCUGCGGGGACGAGGGACCACAGAAGCCCGGGGGAGUGACUUCACCAAGGUCACAUGGAGGGGUGGGCACAGAGCUGGGCCUGGGACACAGGUGCCCUCACUGGUGCCCAUCUGCAUUUCCCCAUCUGUGUACCGUGGCCUUCCUGAUGGGCUCCUUGCCCUGGCUCAGGGCCGGAAGGGAGGAAACGCUGCCAUCAGUCAAGCUCAGAUCGCUCCCACCAGGAUGAGGGCAGGGAAGCAGGAGGAUCUAAAGACCGAGUCCUCAGCGUGCAGAGUUUACAACUGUAAGAUCAUUAUGUACAGUGCAGCUUCUGCUGCCCACUCCCUACCAAGACAGGAGAGUGUGUCUCGAAAUCUGUGUCUGUACAUGCAAAGUGAAGAACUGUGGAGCACUGUGAACACACCUUGCUGCAGGUUUGGGAGUUACAUCUCUUCCCCCUAUAUCAUUUUGGAAGGCCCAGCAAGAUUACUGGAUGGAGGUAAGUUUUAAGUUUCUAACUGUGCUUCAUAGAUUGUAACUUUUGUUUCAUAGGCUCUGGACAUUUGUUUCACAGAAUCUGAAUUUUGUUCCAUACUUUUUGGCCUUUGUUUCAGCUUUUUGUUUCAAAAGUAUCUCAAUUUUAAGCCAUACUGUGAGGCAGGCAGUGGAACCACUGAGCUAAAUCCCCGGCUUAUUCUUGUUUUGUAUAUGCUGCAUUUGGACUUAGUUGCUUAAAAAUGUUGUAAAAUAGGUCUCAUAAAAUAGGUCUCAGAUAAAGACAGUUCAGGCUUUUAUCUAUCCCUUAUAAAAUGCCAAAUGGUGUUUACUCUGUCAGCUAGUAAUUGCAUUUAGGGCAGCUGUAAUUCUCAAAGCAGAGGACAGACAGGUUUCUCCAGUUGCUCUCCGGUAAAUCCCCACUCCCUCUGAAGCCAAUGGAAGGUGGAACAUUGACCAGAUGGGUAAUUUGGUUUCUUUCAGAGACAUAUCUGUGAUCAUGUGGAACUAGUGGAAACUGAGGUGACAACUGAGGGGUCAUGGCUCUGAUGGAUACCCACCGGUCCCUCUGAAGAAACUAGCUUCUAAUAGCUGGUCCGGGUAAUCAGAACCACACCCACAGCUGUUCAAGUUAAAAUUUCAGAAAUCCAGGUUCAUCACUCUCGAAUCAAGAAGGCCCACCACAAUGACUCCUGGGAGGCCCACACCAACAAGACGACUUCCUUAAAGGUCACCCUGAGGAGACAACGAACUCAAAGCCCUGCUCCUGUCACUCUGGACACUGACAGGCCAAUGCAUGCCUGAAGCCUGAGGACCUCAAUCCAAGAACCACUGCCGCACUUUCCAGACUUUGUCUUUCCCUGACAUCUUUAUUCUGGCCUUCCUCAUAGUGUCUGCGUUUAUUCUUGGUAUAGGCUUAAUAACUGUUACUCCAGAGGACUGGAAUACUUUCCAAAGAUGUUUCCUCUUAGCUAUAUGUUGGGAUUUUAUGCUGGUGUUUGCUAUCCUCUCAUUUAGACUGACUCAGGAAAACCCUAACACCUGAUAAAGUGUCCUAGGUGACUGGAAGACAUAGAUAGGUGCUUUAUUAGGACUUCUCUUUGAUAGCCUCAUGUUAUUAACAAUCGGCCCAAGCUUUAUAAAUUGGUUCAUGAGCUUUUUCUCAACCUUAACUCCAUAGAGAUCCAAAAAUCAUACCAACUGAUGAUAACUUCAAGGUCUAAUGUUUAUACUCACACAUGUAAAAACAUAGACUAGCAAACAAGGUGAAGAUUUAACUAUAAUCAAAAAAGAACAGGGAAUGAACAGGGAAAUGGUUUCUGACCAGAAGAAGCCUGUGCUGCAGCUAGCCGGGUAGCAAGCAAAAGGCUCCUCCUAGGUCCCGACCCCUCCUGCACCUAAAACAUGCCCAGGUCUCACACGUGCCCAGACAUUGCCCUUUGUUCUCAGUAGAGUUUCUGUGAGCCCCUGCUUCCCUAUGUAAAUAAGAUGAAUCCCAGUGUGCCUUUUUAUCCAAUGUAUAAACUGCUGACUGUAUCUACCUCAACCAAUGCACUAAUGUUAGUGUCUUGCCGCUGUAUCCUCACCCCUCUUUUCCCAAAUCUAUAUAACCCUGUUCAUUGCCCAGAUGGGACUGAUCACUUUGUGGAGAAUUCCCCUGAUCCGUCUGCUAGUGAAAUAAACCUGCCUCCAACUUCCAGGGUGUGUGCUCGAUUCUUCUCGGCCUGACUCUGUUAUAUCACCGAGAGCUACAACAUUGGGAGUUAUAUUUGCUAUAAUAGUGGUGCACAC